GCGAUUCGGUGCAAAAAUCAAUGUGUUACAGGCUAUUGGUCGCCUCCGCUACGUUUUCUAAACAGUCCACGAACAGACGAGUGUCACGAGAUCAUUUCGCUCGGGCGUACGAACGACGACCACUAGACGGCAAGGCGAGGUCCGACAGAGUCGGCAGUGGGAAUAUAGUUGACGGCGAGUGGCUAUUGCGCGAUGUCAUACGCGCGUCAGACGACGGUGCAGACGACGACUAAUCGACGAGCGACCGAGACCAAAAUGGCACGGGGCGAGUGAAGAAGAUUUGAGCCUGUGAAAUCGGCGACCACUGGAUGGACGCAACCCGACAAAUAAUAAUUACUAUUUAUUCAAACUAAACUUUUUAUAUUCUAGUAAAUGAAUUUAUUUUAUUCAAAAACUGUAACAUUAAAAUGUAGAUCACUAUUCAUUAUUAGUUAAACAUAUAUUAUUAUAAUUAUACAACUUAUAUCUCUAUUAUCUCUCUUUACUCUAUUAUUUAAUAUUUUAAUGUUAUUAUUUAUCACUAUUAUAUCAAUAUUAAACUAACUAUUCAGCUCUAUAACAGGUAUUCUAAUAAAUUAUUAUAAUAAAAAAGAAAAACGUUUUAAAUGUAAAACUAUUCUAAGCAGUAAGCGGGGACGUUCUAUUAGCCUACAUAUGUUUACAAAAAAUUUUAAAUUCACUGCCAAUGUCAAGUCGAUCUUACAAAUUAAUCAUAAAGAAUGUUGAAGACGUUCGGUGGUAUCCGGUCAAGGAUUCGGUUCCGUUGAUCGUACUGGCUAAGAACUCGGCCAUUUGACAUUAUCCAAUUAUUCGACGGGUUUUCGACGAAUAGUAUUCGUGAACGAUGUGCAUAGUACAUGAAUCAUCCUCGAAAACUUUGAGGAGUCUUUCACAGUCAUAUUUGUGACGAAUAGAAUCUACGAAACGACCAGAAUCCCCAAACAAUAAGGUUAACAUGACAACGAGUUAACCGUGGUCCGUGAGGAUGGCUGGAUGAUCCGAAGGAAAGUACAACGGGAAAACAUUAUAAGAAUUGCUUAUAGAAUUGAAUUUGAGACAUCACAAAUGGCGUUAUAAAAGUGAAAACUUUGUGAUGAAUCUUGAGAUAAUACCUAUAUAAUAUUCAUAUUUAUUCCAUUAUAAUAAUUGUGCAAUGUUAUACAUAUAGCAGUUUAGAAAUUAUCAUUUUAAUUUUUUCGUUAAUGUAUAACGAAUAUUAAUAGAGUUGAUUAUUUAAAAUUAAUAAGUUAAUAGGAACACUUCAAAAUCAUAGGAGUUUUAUUUAUAAAUUCAAUGAUGUGUGAAUGAGUUAUUAUAUAUUAAAUUAAAUAUUGAUCAAUCACUGCUUAACGUGGUAAUACAUAAUAUGUUGAAACUUGAAAGUAAGGCAAAUAUUCAAUUUUUUUAAGAAUAAUAUAAUUUAGUGUAUUUGAUAAAAUACUUUGUGCACGCGUAAUAGCUAGUACAUAUUACAAUUCAUGUUAGUUGCUUAUUGUACACAGAUUAAUCAAUUUUGAUUUUUACAUUAUUUGUAUAACUUAAAAAUAAUUUACAGAAUAUGCAGACCAUAACGGACGGGGCAAUUAUUAUCCUGUAUCAGAACCGGUGCGGUGGUUGACUUUCUGUAUUUUUAAAUCCAUGAUAGUAACUAUAUCUAUAAUGAAUGAUGCCUGUAUUUAAAGCUAUAAUGAUCAAAUAAUAAUAUAAUAUAAAUAUAAUAAUAACAUACAUUAUAUGUAUCGUAUUUCUCGGCUUGUCCGGUGCAUUAUACAGACAAUUUCACUACAUUUAUGGGUAGAGAAACACA